rnacentral:misc_RNA from 1 species
AACGCACAUUGCGCUCUUUGGUAUUCCGGAGAGCAUGCCCGUUUCAGAAUCAGCAAAUCAUCCUCAGACGGUCUGGGUUUCCCGGCGACGGGACGCCCGCGACCUGCUGGACUUUGGACGCGCCGUUUCUUCCUUCCCGGAGGAGACUCGUCUCAAAAGCAUGGGAAACGCUGGGGUAGCCAUCCAAUGGACCUUGCAAAGCAGCAACAGUGACCUCUUUUGGUUUCUCUUUCACUCUUUGCCCGGAUCCAGGCAUCCCUGUAUUCAGUUACAAGGCACUUCCGCAUCGCCCUUUUGCUGGGGCAACCUGCAAAGAACUUGGUCUGAAAUCGGGCAAGAAAACCCGCUGAACUUAA